rnacentral:rRNA from 1 species
CCUACGGGAGGCAGCAGUGGGGGAUAUUGCACAAUGGGGGGAACCCUGAUGCAGGGACGCCGCGUGGGUGAAGGAGCGUUUCGGCGCGUAAAGCCCUAUCGGCAGGGAAGAAGGAGGACGGUACCUGACUAAGAAGCCCCGGCUAACUACGUGCCAGCAGCCGCGGUAAUACGUAGGGGGCAAGCGUUAUCCGGAUUUACUGGGUGUAAAGGGGGCGCAGACGGCAGCGCAAGCCAGGAGGGAAAGCCCGGGGCCCAACCCCGGGACUGAUGUUGGACCCGGGCGGCUGGAGUGCAGGAGGGGCAGGCGGAAUGCGGGGUGUAGCGGUGAAAGGCGUAGAGAUCGGGAGGAACACCGGUGGCGAAGGCGGCCUGCUGG